GAUGAACGCUAGCGGCAGGCUUAAUACAUGCAAGUCGAGGGGCAGCACGGUUAGCAAUAACUGGUGGCGACCGGCGCACGGGUGCGUAACACGUAUACAAUCUACCUUAAACAGGGGGAUAGCCUUUCGAAAGAGAGAUUAAUACCCCGUAAUAAAUUGAACGGCAUCGUUUGAUUUUGAAAGCUCCGGCGGUUUGAGAUGAGUAUGCGUCUGAUUAGCUAGUUGGUGAGGUAACGGCUCACCAAGGCGACGAUCAGUAGGGGAUCUGAGAGGACUAACCCCCACACUGGUACUGAGACACGGACCAGACUCCUACGGGAGGCAGCAGUAAGGAAUAUUGGUCAAUGGAGGCAACUCUGAACCAGCCAUGCCGCGUGCAGGAUGACGGCCCUAUGGGUUGUAAACUGCUUUUAUACAAGAGAAAACCCUGGUAACGUGUACCAGGUUGAUAGUAUUGUAAGAAUAAGCAUCGGCUAACUUCGUGCCAGCAGCC
rnacentral:rRNA from 1 species